GCAUCGAUGAAGAACGCAGCGAAAUGCGAUACUUGGUGUGAAUUGCAGAAUCCCGUGAACCAUCGAGUCUUUGAACGCAAGUUGCGCCCGAAGCCAUUAGGCCGAGGGCACGUCUGCCUGGGCGUCAC
rnacentral:rRNA from 3 species